AUGCCGGGUGACUGCGAGACCGCCGGCCGUUCUGAGAUUAUACUGUCUGAACUUGAUCUAGAUAAUUCUAGCGAAAGGACACACGCGACUUCACUU
rnacentral:ncRNA from 1 species